AUGUGUGUUUCCAACUGAUUGAUCUCCAGCAUUUAUCAUAGAGACUGCAAAUAUAAUGGUCCCUCAGUAAUUGUUUAUUGAAUAAAUACACUGCCUCCAAGGUUUUGAACAGAGAAACUAGAAUUACUGUUUAUUGAAGAGGACCAGGAACAAUGCAGAGGGGCUUUGAAAGGAGCCUAGAUCAAACAGUUCAGAGCUUUCAUUGUCCUUACUGUCUGGCCAGAUUGAAUGUGCCAAUAUCACACUCAAGACAAGCCCAGCAUUAUGAUUAGCCAAACUUCCUUUUGAGCACAAUCCUGCUUAAAUUCAAACUUCUCCAACCUGAUGGUGCAUGAUCCCAACAGUGUGGAACAAAGCUCUUACACAUCACAACAAAGACUGUCAAAAGAUGAACACAGAUGGGGGGAAAGCCUGUAGAAAUUAACUGGUAAAUGUUAACACCGAUUAUUUGCUUCUUCCCUUGUAUGGAAUCAUUUGAU